GGUAGAACCGUCCUUCAAUGAGCAACUUUUUUACUUUCUUACUUACAUUUCGGAUCCUGUACUUUUUCACUUUUACUUGAGUAAAAAGGAUAAUCUGCGGACGGAAAGAAAACACACAGUCAGCUGAUUUCCGUUUGGAGGAGGCGGAGGGAGUAAAAACGUGGAGCUGUUCGCAGAUGUUGAGGAGAGGAGACGCGGACAGUACUUUUGGUUUUACUGCAUGGAAGGAGCAGAGCGUAGCUUUAUCAAAGAGGAAAAUCUUCAGCCUAAUCAUCAACUCCUGUCUCCUGGAUCCAGCUGCGACAAAGCUUUCAGGCUCCUAUAACCAGCUGAUGACACUGCCUGACAUAUACUGAGCUGUCAGAGCUGCUCUCCACAUCAGCAGAGAGUGACACUGACAGUCUGGACGGUGUGUUUGAUCGACAUCAUCGGAUCAUGCAGAGACAAGGAAACAUCAAAGAACAAAAACAUUAUAAAGCGAGGCAUUUAAAGCUGAAUGAUUUGAAACAGGAAGCUCAAGAUACUCAUUUGUACAAGAAGUACCUCUGCAAAGACGACAUCCCUCCGUACCCCGGACCUGGAGAGGUUUCACUUGAGUUUCAUGUGUCUCGGCUGAAGCACGACACAUACAAAUUAGAAGAGAUCAAGAAUGACGGAGGCUUCAAGGAUCCAAACAGCGGCUCAAAGGAUCCAGACAGACUGUCCCUGGUGUGGUGGAGUCUGGCUGUGGCACCAGAGGAGAUCCAGUCAGCUGAGAGGAGGCUCCUGGAGGAGGCCUUCCCAAACUGGACCGAGGAGCAGGCCCGGCGGAAGCAGGGCUUCCUGGUGGACUUUGCCUCGUCUCCAGCCUUCAGUGAGAAGUCCAGGUAUGGAUCGUACCGCUUCACCUUCACUGUGGAGGAGGUGCUGGAGGCCUACAGCAAGCAGUUUUGCUCCGGCCGCCCGCCCGUCAUGCGUGUUCUCAGGACUUCCCUGUACAGACAGGAAGUGAUGUAUGCUGUGCUGGUCCACAGCUCAGACAGUGAUUGGCUCUUCGCUGAGUAUCCCAUCCUGCCCGACGCUCCGAACACUGUCUGUGCUUACAGGGACGGACGCUUCACCUGGAGGCCCGAGGCCAUGUGCGGGACACACAAAUAUGUGCUUUUACAAAGACGUGACAAAAACCUGAUGGAAGCUUGGGGACUGAUUCAGGAUCCACAGUAUUAUGUUUGGGACCACGUCGCCAUCGCCCUGCAUGUGGAGGGUGGGCAGGUGCUGAAGUUUGAUUCUGAUGAUCUGAGGAAGAACCUCACGUUCUGUGAGCCUGACGCUGUGACAGUCACACCUGAAUCUGACUUUCAACAUUACGAGGAUGCUCAAAACCUGGUCGCUCGUUUGUGGCCACUGAAGAAGGAAGUUUCACUCCAGCAGAGAAUCAGAGGCUCUACAGGCUCUCUGCGGUGAGACGACGCCCUCAGUCUGAGCUCUGCACACUUUGAUCUUUUCUUUCAUUUUGAAUAAAUCAAACAUAGAGCUUCAUGUUGGUGUGGUUUAAACUCCUGACUGUGCACGUUUUUAAUAUUUUAUAUUGUUGUUGUCAUUUUUCAUCACCCUGAGGCUGUCUUUGAGGUUUCUCCACCUUUAUUCUCCUUUUUCUGAGCGACUGCAGCAUCACCGGCUGCACAGUGAACCAUGGUGGAGGUUACACAGAAGGAAGCAGCCGAGAGGAACGAACACAGAAAAACUGUUUGACGUGACUUUUUUAUUCGAUUAGUUUAUUAAAGGUUUAUUACAUGAAUUUCCAAAGUGCGCAGCAAAAGACCAAAGACAGAUAAAACACACAUGAUGAGUAUAAACAUGUGAUUAUGUGUUUCACUGCACUCUGUCCUGUCUGUGUGUGAUGUGUUCAUGUGACUGAAUCAAAGACUAAUUACUUUGUACACACAAAAAGUGGACAAUAAAGUUGUUUUGAAUAUUUUGGCUGUUUUCCGUGUUCAGGUGUCUUCAUAGCUCCUCCUCCUCACUCUUCACACACCUGAAGCUUUUCACAUCAGAUCAUUUGUUGCUGUCUUUGUUAAAUCAGUCCAACAUGUUACUAAAA
ensembl:lncRNA